AGCACUCCUAUCAAUCACUUGCAGAAAAUCACUAGCAUGCAAAAUGAGAAAAAUCAGCAUAACAUUAAGUCACUCCAGUCUGGCAAUUUCCCUGGCCUCAUCCCCCUGGUUCUGGUUUUGAUGGUUUUACUCUGUGCUAGAAACACUAACAUGAAUUUAGCAUGCAGCAGACUAGAGAGGAUUUCAGAGGACGUGCUUUUUUUAGUAACAAACAGCAAUCCUAUCUGCUGCAGAAAAGCCUUUAAUUCAUUACAGCCUUGUCCUACCACAAUUUGCUGACUGCUCAGAUGGGUGGAUACAAUGGCUCCAUUGUUGUGUCUGAGGGAGAUCCCAUAAUUGCACACUGUUGAUUAAACGAGAUCUGUACAUCAGAGGGGACGUGGCAGCCGGGGAGAGGGCCGGAAAGCCUCCCUGCAUGGAUCACCUCUUCCUUCACUGGAUGGGCGAUCAGACGUGUAAGCUGUGGUACCAGGAUGUGGCCAGCACAGUUUUUGGCCAGCCAUCUUGACCUACUCUGAGGAAUUUUCGUGCAUGGGGCUUUGAAUUUGCAAGCGUGCUGUGUAUAUAAUCUUUCUCUGAAGAUCUUCUACAGUAUAGUAAUAGAGAAAGAAUGAUCGUAUGAUACGCUGCCCAAAGAAUAUUCAAAAUGCACAACUUUUAGCUUCAGCCAAUGGUGGUUAUCAAAUGGUAGUUGAACUACAUAUAUAGGUUUCCCUAUUUUCUCUGUGUAACUAUGGGGCACAAGGGUCAGUUUUAUUUACCAUUGCAUGACUCCAGUUUUACCUCAGAAUGACUCUCCUGGUUUCAGUAGUUCAUACUGGGCUUGAGCUACUGGUAGGGAUAGCAAUCUCAUCACCUCAGUGGUGCACAUUUAGGGUGGACCUGUGGGGAUUCUGGAGUACUAACUAGGCCUCCUUUGAUUGCUGGGCAGACCAACCCAGCCUUUUUAAUGCAUACUCAUCAACAAGGACAGAUCACAAAUAAUGGGUCAUCCCCUCACUAGUGGGAGUGGGAUGGUUGCCCCUUAAUCCACUACACUUCUGUUGGAAUAUCUGUAUAACAAGAUGUUGUAUGUUUCUCUUCCUAACUCCUAGUGUAUAUUGAUUGUAUCAGGCUGAUAAUGAGAUGAGCCUCACUAAUUGUAAUGCUAAGUUGCAACCAUUUUUCUUCUCAGAGAUCUGUGAGUAUGGAGGGCCUGGGCUCACAUAUAUGCACUGACAUCCUCCCUGUUCUCAGUUGUCUGGAGAAACUGCUAGAUUGAGUUUUUGCAAAACAAUAUGCAGGAGUGAUAAAGAAACAAUUCAAUAUUUAUUUCUGCUAGGCUCCUAAUAGACCUCUUGUAUGCACUCUGGCAUUUGCUCUUUAUUACCCUUUCUUUGUUAGUUUAAUCUUGUUGUACUGAAUGCUUAACUACUUUUUCCUUUCAGUGCC